GACGAACGCUGGCGGCGUGCCUAAUACAUGCAAGUCGAGCGAAGCGGGGACGGGUGAGUAACACGUGGAUAACCUCCUAUAAGACUGGGAUAACUUCGGGAAACCGGAGCUAAACCGGAUACUCAGAUAUGGAUGCGCGCUGCAUUAGCUAGUCGGUAAGGUAACGGCUUACCAAGGCAACGAUGCAUAGCCGACCGGAGAGGGUGAUCGGCCACACUGGAACUGAGACACGGUCCAUACUCCUACGGGAGGCAGCAGUAGGGAAUCUUCCGCAAUGGGCGAAAGCCUGACGGAGCAACGCCGCGUGAGUGAUGAAGGUCUUCGGAUCGUAAAACUCUGUUAUUAGGGAAGCGGUACCUAACCAGAAAGCCACGGCUAACUACGUGCCAGCAGCCGCGGUAAUUC
rnacentral:rRNA from 1 species